rnacentral:rRNA from 1 species
UACAGAGGGUGCAAGCGUUAAUCGGAAUUACUGGGCGUAAAGCGUGCGUAGGUGGAAUUUUAAGUCAAAUGUGAAAUCCCCGGGCUUAACCUGGGAACUGCAUGUGAUACUGGAAUUCUUGAGUAUGGUAGAGGAAAGUGGAAUUCCCGGUGUAGCGGUGAAAUGCGUAGAUAUCGGGAGGAACAUCAGUGGCGAAGGCGACUUUCUGGACCAAUACUGACACUGAGGCACGAAAGCGUGGGGAGCAAACAGG